AACGAACGCUGGCGGCAUGCCUAACACAUGCAAGUCGAACGAGACCUUCGGGUCUAGUUGCGCACGGGUGCGUAACGCGUGGGAACCUGCCCUUAGGUUCGGAAUCACUCCCUGAAAGGGGUGCUCAUACCGGUUAAUGUCUUCGGACCAAAGAUUUAUCGCCUGUGGAUGGGCCCGCGUUGGAUUAGCUAGUUGGUAGGGUAAAAGCCUACCAAGGCGACGAUCCAUAGCUGGUCUGAGAGGAUGAUUAGCCACACUGGAACUGAGACACGGCCCAGACUCCGACGGGAGGCAGCAGAGGGGAAUAUUAGACAAUGGGCGAAAGCCUGAUCCAGCAAUGCCGCGUGAGUGAUGAAGGCCUUAGGGUUGUAAAGCUCUUUUACCCGGGAUGAUAAUGACAGUACCGGGAGAAUAAGCUCCGGCUAACUCCGUG
rnacentral:rRNA from 1 species